rnacentral:misc_RNA from 1 species
GGAAGAAUGGUGGGAAGUUCCGGUGCCGGACCUUUGGGCUUUCCCUUGUUCCUUGAACCCACUCCCGGCCCCGUUGAUCUCUUUGCAACUGCCACUUCUCUCCGUCUCUCCCACUCUCUUCGCCGCCGUAUUACCCAUCAAAUUCGCCUCACCUUCGCUCUCCAUUCGUUCGAUAAGAAACUUGCUCCUCUCAUUGAAGUCUCUUCUAAAGUGAAGAAUGCAUGGUGUUCAAGAGCUCUCCAUUUUCCAAGAUUAAAUUUUCUUGGA